rnacentral:rRNA from 1 species
UACGAGUGCCCCAAGCGUUAUCCGGAAUCAUUGGGCGUAAAGGGUGUGUAGGCGGUUGUGUUAGUCUUCUGUUAAAUUCUUCGGCUUAACCGGGGGUCUGCAGAGGAAACGGCACAACUAGAGGAUGCGAGAGGUGAAUGGAACUCAUGGAGUAGGGGUGAAAUCCGUUGAUAUCAUGGGGAACACCAAAAGCGAAGGCAAUUCACUGGCGCACUCCUGACGCUGAGACACGAAAGCGUGGGGAGCGAACAGG